GGCAUGUUCACAAGCCCCUCCCUGCUUCGUGUGUUCCUUUUCCACACAAGUUACUCCAGGGUCUGUUAUGGCAGGGACUGCACAUUGGCACACACCAAACAGCUGCGGCAUGCCACGCUCCCCGACAGCACCUCCCUGCCAUCUCAGGACGCAGACAAGCUGAACCGAGCUAACUGUAGUGGACUGUCUGGCAAACACGCCCGCACAUCAGCAAGGCAAAGUGGAGGAAACUGCUGAACACAUGUCACAAGAUACAAAAGGUCCAAGAAAGGAAUUUGACAAUUAUUUGUCUGGAAAACUGAAGAAAGCAAAAUGAUGACAAAACAAAAUGGAAUGAUCUCUUCUCUUAAAAAUACAGAGCAUGGAAUUAAAGGGAAGCCUCCUUAUUCAGUAGAAACUCCUUAUGGCUUCCGACUUGACCUGGACUUUCUAAAAUAUGUAGAUGACAUAGAGAAAGGCAACACUAUCAAAAGAGUCCCAAUCCAGCGCCGGAGCAAAGGCACCCGGGCGAGCACCCUUCCCAGGCACCUCAAUCCUUCUGGGAGUGGCUAACACCCCC